GUCUUUUUGCGCACAUCUGAUAAAUUGGAACGAUACAGGGAAGAUUAUGAUUCUUGCCCAAGGAUGACACGAACAAUCAAAGAAAUGUCCACAUUUUGU